rnacentral:rRNA from 1 species
CAGUCGCCACGGUAAUACGAGGGGGGCAGGCGUUGUUCGGAAUUAUUGGGCGUAAAGGGUGCGUAGGCGGCUUGACAAGUCUUGUGUGAAAUCUAUGGGCUCAACCCAUAGUCUGCACGGGAAACUGUCGGGCUUGAGAAUGGGAGAGGUGAGUGGAAUUCCGAGUGUAGAGGUGAAAUUCGUAGAUAUUCGGAAGAACACCAGUGGCGAAGGCGGCUCACUGGACGACUGUUGACGCUGAGGUACGAAAGCGUGGGGAGCAAACAGGAUUAGAUACCCCCGUAGUCCCUGUCUCUUAUAC